AGCUUGGAACGACAUUCAGUAUCAGUCAAAGCUAACUUCUGGCCAGAAGAUGAAGAACUUCCGGAUCCUGCUGCUUGUUGCCGCAAUGGGACUAUUGUUCCUUGCCGAACCUGGGAACAGCGCACCUGCACCACAAAUAGCUGAAUUUAUUUGCGACAGACUACCUUUCCUACCAUUCUGUCACGGUACUACAGAGUCUACACUUCUUAUUGAAUCUUCCCCUACCCCUCCCGGAGCCCCGGGACCUGGGCCUAUCGUCGACUAACUCUCUCCCUACAUCUGACUCGGGUGCACUGCCAGAAGUGGCAGCGCCCACUGCGCUGUGUUGCUUCCCCUCAGCCGCAGUCAGCUGUGGGCGCUACAGUACUCAAAGAGUGACAAUUCAAUCAACAUGGUAAACAUUCUUACAAUUAGACGGAACUGCGCACGCGCACUGCACUUCAUUCAAAUACAUGAAUAAUGUUUGGUUGUGCAAGUUACAUGUCUGUACUCUGUUAAAUUCACAGUAGACAUUAAGAUGUGAACAAAAUGUAUAAUUUAAUAAGCACUCUGCAAUUAAUAAACACUGAAAGUUUUCACAGAAAAUGA